CCCUAGUUAAAACAAUUUGGGAUUGAUGCGUAGUGGUUUUUGCUUAAGAUUUAUUUACUAUUUCCAGAUUGGAUUUGAUAAUUAUCUUGUGUUCCAAUUGCUUGUCUUCUAUAUAUGAUUACUUUCUUAUUUUCAUAUCGAUUAUAUUAUCUUUAUUUAUGCAGUUUCACAAAACAUCUGGAGAUUCAGGUUGUCUAGGCUUUAAUUACAUGCUCUAGCUUUGUAUCUUCUAUGUGAUGGAAAUUACUCUUUUAGCUAGUUUAUUGGAGUCAAACCAUUCAAUUUUCACAUUUAAAGUAACAUUAUGCUAGAUUUCUAUGUCCAGAAACUGUAUAUAUCUAUUUAGUGUUUCCUCUGCUACUAGAUGCAUAAUAUAAAAAAUAUAUCCCUUCUAGUUGUUCGGCUUUGAUGUUAUUUGCAAAAUGAAUUAUAUUAAUUUUUAUAUUAUGUGGUUAUAAAGAGAAUUUAAUAUUUUUCAAUAGGUUUCAUGCCUGAUCAUUGCCAUGUUGCUAGCUCUUAACUGAUACAUCUCUUAUACAUAUCUGUUGGAUUAUUGCACUAUAUGGUUAUAGAAGUUUCAUUUCUCCGUCUGAAGGAUAUAGGUUUUGUAUUACUUUUAUUUGUUAUAGACUCAUAUCUUCUUAUUCUUAGGCAAAAUAUCUUUGAGCCCUAAUUAGAUUAUGCCCAAAUGUUUUAUUUUAUUUUUAAUAGAAUUUCUUGUACUUAUUAGCUAUGACAAAAAUCCACUUUAAACAGUUGGUAUUCCCAGUUUCCUAGUAACAAUGUCGAGAAAGAAGCGACUCAAGAUAUUCAGAUUUUAAAGAGGUUGGAAACGUGCUGCCUUAAUGAUGAGUGGUGAGUCAAUUGGCGGAGAGCUCUGUCCUAGUAAAGUCUGUUGGUCAUAUUAAAAUUAUACGCAUUGUAAAGAAAAUGGUUCUAAGUAACAUCAGAAACUUGAAGUGGUAGGGAAAAAAGUUGUAGGUAAGUGCAAAGGUUUCCUUUAGUUCUUAAGACAGUUACUAGUUUAUUAAGUUCCGAAUAAGAGAUUGAAGAGCCAACACAUUUAAAGAAGUGAAAUAUGAGGCUUACAAUUUGUUGAGAAGUGAAUGUGGAAGCUCACAUAUUUGACUUUUCAAAUCUCCACUCUCCAAUCUUUGAUUUGGAGCUUAAUAGGCCCACAAAUGUCUUUAGAGCUAAGGGCAAACCUUUGCACGUUUCUGCAAUUCUUUUUCCAACCUCUUCAAGUUCCGAAAGUUUCUUAGAAUCCAUGUUCUCAAAUGCGCCUCUUUUGUAUAAAGGCCAACAACUUCACUGGACAGAGUUCCCACACUAAUUGGCCACUACCCAUCAUCAAAACAACACUUUUCUUAUGCUAAUUGGCUCACUUUGACGCGUUAACUACAAUGGCAACCUCAUGGAAGAGUGCGGAGAUUCCAAAUUUUUAAGCAGACUUCAUCGAGAAAGAGGCAACUUGAAACUGCGAAGUCUUGACUUUUGGGGUUCCUGCACCCAUGCUUUUUAUUGUCAUUCUCCAUUACUCUCGUCUUCCCAAUCUCACCCCAGCAAAUCUGUAAAGUCAAUUUCCUUCUCUUCCUUGCAAGAUUUCAUAGUUUGUGCAAAAAAUUCUCAUCUCCUGUAACAUCUAAGUUUAGGUUUACUAAGAAGUUUGGGUAAGCAGUAGCUGUGGUUAAAAUUUGAUCACCUUCUACUUUGUAAAGUUACAGAAGUUAUUAGUUGAUUAUUUUGAUGUAUGCUUCUCUAAAAUUUAUAGGCUGAUAAGGAAAAUUUUGAUACUGUGAAUGUUGGAUGACAUGCUUUUCAAAGAUGGGAAGCGUAGGGAUUGUACAUCACGGUUCUGAAGAUAGGAUACAAUUGUCAUCGUUUAGUGUUUCAUAGAAGAUGAGUGGAUGCUGAACUUUACUUUUAUUUUUUACCCCGUAAUAUUCUAUUGUAAAAAGUUGUUAUGUAUAUACUGAAUUUAGUAGUGGAAGGAUAGACUGCUGAGACAAAGGCAUUUUGCUUGAAUACUGCACAAACAUAUCUACCAUGGAUAUGCACAGUCCUAGAGAAGGCCAACUGGUUUUGGAAGGUAUUGCAGAUCUUUUCUAAUUUGAUCUACUGUAUUUUGUGUUCACUUCAUAAGCCACAGCCUCUCUUGUGUGCUUUUGCAUAUAUCUAGUUGUCGAUACUUAUCAUAAUGUUUUUUUUUUCUUUAAUCAAUUGAAUUGGACCUUAGUCUCUUGAUCUAUACGAUACAGACUAUAUUUUAGAUCAGGGUAUCACCAAUUGAAGAUCAGGCAGUAGGAUAUUUCGAAAAUAGCUUUCGGGACCCGGUAGGGGUACUUUGAGUUUCUGGUGUAGCCCUCCAGUUGUGGCCCCUGCGAAGAGUUGGAGAAUGAUUUAAGAUCAACGGAGCUUCUAAGAAUUAAAGAAUGAAUGAGAUAAAGCUUCAUAGCAAAAGCUUGAAAAUAAUGUAUGUGGAGCUUGGUUUGUUGAAGAGACACAGGCAACUACGUCUGCAGGAGGCAUUAACCAUCUUCUAGUACAACCUCGAAAAUUUUGAAGCUUGAAGAUCGUGUAUGUAAUAGCCUGAAAAUAAUGUAUUUUCAACCCUGGAUUAGUCCACCAAAACUUAGUCCUCUCCAAUGGUAGAUUAAUGAUUGUCUUGUUCAUCAGAUGUUACAGUGAACUUUUAACGAUUGAAUAUCUGAAUGUGCAUGCAUUUUGUAUGUACCCAGAACUUGUUGACCCUUUUA